UGUUCUUGCACAUCCAAGAAAUGAAAAGAAACAUUUAACGUACAUGUUUAUGGUGGCAGACAACAAUUUUAAUUGCAUUUCCAUCUGUAUGAUCUUGGGUUGUGUCAAUUCGGUAUUGGUAUGAUCUUUAGCGCUUACCUACUUAGAAACCUUGUUUUCCAAGCCUUUACUGAAACUGUGAUCGGUACGAAACUUGUACAAUUUGUUUAACCUUUUUGAGAUUUUAUUUUUGAGAUUGUGAAGUAAACCAAGUCCGGGAAGAUUUCCGUUCCAUAAACAAUACAGCUGGCAUAACAAUUUAUUAUAAAUAGCAAUAUUGUCGAGAUUCUAAUAAUCUAUGACACCCGACUAUGUCUGCACCAUUAAGGCUAUUUUUUUGCACUGAACAUGUACAGUAUACCAGUGGUCUUAAUUAGCACAAGCCCGCAAGCCCUGUACUAGUAAAAUGUCUUCCGGGCUUGCUCAAAUUCUGCAUUUUAUAUAGCAGGGCUUGUUCAAAAAUUUGAUGCCAAGCAAUAGUAUAAGAAUUCGGGCUUGUUUAUCCAAAAGUCUUAUUUCAAUGACUGGUAUACAUGUGGUGUCCGGUCAACGCAGCCCAAUUACCUUUUCGUCCUUGUCCAAAUCGGCCUACUUUUGAAAGGAAGCGUGCCUGCCUAUGAAAUGCCGAUGGGUAUUAUGUUGUUCACACCUAAAUUACAUAUUAUUUAGAGUUGUUUAUGUGUUAGAGUGUUAAUAAAAACAGCGAAAAAACUGUUUUGAUAAUUGAAAAUUCCGAAGAAUGUUAAUGAUAUUAAUAAAUUUAUUAAAAAAAAUCAUUUUUUAUUAUGGCAGUACAGGACUGGAACUAUUUAGAGGCGAGUGUCGCGCAUGCAAAAACAGUGGAGAGCUUCAAGGCAGCUCUCAGAAGUCGUGACUGAACCACCAGGACUCACCACCGAUGCGUUGUAGUUUGGGACAUUAAAGUUAAGCCAGACUGCAAGAUUCAUCUCUUCAUAAAGGAUGUCAUAUAGCUUUCCAGAUACACCAUGUUGUGUGUGGGCAGAAAUGCAGAGUGGUUCCAUCAGUGACCUAAGCCACCAUUCCCCUCACAGACAAAAGGCUCAUGCAGACAGUUGUUUGUGGGUGGAAAUGCACAGUGGUACCACUAGUAACCUAAGCUGCCAUUCCCCUCAAAAGGCUCAUGGGGACAGUCCCUCCAGUUAACAGAAAAGCUCUCAAUUGUAGCCCUACGAACUUCAGAUACUGCCGAGGGCGUAGCUCUGGUGCACCGGGCCGGUUUUUAUAGCCAUUUGAAAUCAACAUUUCCAGCUGACUUAGGGCCGGGAACAAUAUCAGACUCCUAAGCAGCACGGACCUCUUUCUUGGGUGGAUGGAUUCAGAGAUGACCCCAGAGAUGCAGUCAUGACUGUGGCACAAGGACGUUAUAGAUUGUGACUGUAAAGAAAUUAUGAUAGCAGAAAAAUGAAACUAUCUUGAUAUGGUUUUCUGGUGUUAAAUCAGCGGACAGUGUUCAUAAUUUGUUGGAAAAUAGUGUCAUAGCUGAAAUCAAUUUUACAAAUUCAUAAUAAAAUGGUGAACUGGAGUGAUUUAACAUACAACAAGAAAGGCAAUGUUGUUGUGCCGUCUCCAUAAGCAGAAAUGGAGGUAGCUUUGUUAGAACGAAAAGCACAACUGAUGGAACAUGACAAAAUGCAGCGGCCAUGACUAGAGGAAAAGGCGACUUUGUAUGUAAAAGAGGAGCUGCUGCAGCAAAUGUGAAAGUUACAGCUUUAUGGGAACCAGAAAGAAGUGAAAGUGUAAUCAGCUACUAUGAAACAGCAGGACUGGCGGAAAUACCUACUGCAAAGCCAAAAGGAUUGUUGAAAACUUGUAUACUACAUUCAUGGAUAGUUUACCAAAGUGCAGAGAGUUGAUCAAUUGAGGGAGAUUUGUCAAAAUAUCUUUUGAAAAUCAUCAACCCACCCGAAGCUUAACAGUCCUGUGAGACUAAUUUUGCACAGAAUAUGACUUGAUCAUCUGGCCCUUAUUUCUCGAAACUUCUUAAGCUUAACAGUUUUAAGUCGCUUAUUUCAAUUAGCCAAAAUACAUACUUUGAUGAAUGAAAAAUUGUUUAUUCUGAUACUCAUACAGAUUAUUCCUACAUUAUUUCUAAAAAUUCUUGAAGAAGUUAAUAUAACAUAUUUUAUAGAACAACAAAAAUAGUGAGAUUAGCUUAAUCCUGUUAUAAGGUACUUACCGGUAAGAAGUUUCGAGAAAUUGGGACCUGCUGAAGAAAUGGACUGUAAAAAGGCUCAUGCAUCUUGAUAGAGGAGUGUUUCUGAAUGGUUCAAAGUUGCCUCAACUGUCAAAGUGAUAUGGGGGACACAAGCAAGCUCCUACAAGAAGCAAAUGGAUUGUUUCUUUACUCAGUUUUUCCUAUUCGUUGAGUUUGGCCAAUUAUCUAACGUAGACAGAGACUCCCCAAACAGGAGUGCUGAAACCAAACCCUGUAUUCAUCAGGAUAAUGGAUUAAUUAGCAGACACAAAGUAGAACAACCGUAGUGAUAAAUGUGCUCACUUCUUAAGGUUAAUUAUUAAUUUUAUUAACUGUGAUAUGUUUUGAAAUAUGUGGCGAAGUGAAAGAAGGCAGGAUUUGUUUCAGAAGCGGAUUCUCACUUUUUUGCUUUAUGAUAACGCUCUGAUGAGCUCAAGUGUUAAAUGUGAUGUGUGUGGUAGUUUCAGUUUGAAGUUCAUCCAUGGAAGAUAACAACAGCAGUGAAGAUGAACAACUUGUAAAACUUUUUUUAUGCAAAACAAAUUCUUUUUUUAUAUUUUUUAUGUCUUGAUUGAAAUGCAGAAUUAGUUCUUCUAAGAAGUGUCCUUAACAUCUUGCAUGUCUAAAUUAUUAUGCUACAUGUAUAACCCUCUAUUUGCAACUUCUUAUUCGUUUCGUGUCACUUCAGUUAGAAAACCUUCAUGCAUUUGCCAAAUAAAUGUUGUAAGCCCCCAGUUGAUUCAGUUAUUCAGCUUUGUUAACUGGCAUCUUAUAAAUCUUAGAGGACAAAACAGUACACAAUAACAUCUACGUUAGUGAUCCAAUUGCGUGAAAAUCAUGCCCAUCUGGAAUAACAAACUGUCGUUCCCUACUAUAUGUCUUGAGUGGUCUGUACAUGAUUAUACUGUAUAUGUACCUAUCAGAUAACCCUAUGAGUAAAAUACAUGUAUUUUAAGGAAUGUUUGACAUGAUAAUCCUCUGCUGUGCAUCUCCUGCUAAUUGCACUGAUGUCACAGUAGGGGC